GGCUGUAGCUCAGUGGUAGAGUGCUUGCCUUGCACGUGUGAGGCACUGAGUUUGAUCCUCAGAAUCA
rnacentral:tRNA from 1 species